UACGUAGGGGGCGAGCGUUUGUCCGGAGUUACUGGGCGUAAAGCGCACGCAGGCGGUCUGUUAAGUUUGGAGUGACAGUUCGGGUGGCUUAACUGCCAAAGUGCUUUCGAAAACUGACAGACUUGAGGGCUUCAGAGGGACACGGAAUUCCGGGGUGGAGGUGGUGGAAAUGCGUAGAGAAUCCGGAGGAACACCAAAGGCGAAGGCGGGGUCGAUCUGGGGCCG
rnacentral:rRNA from 1 species